rnacentral:rRNA from 1 species
UACGUAGGGGGCAAGCGUUGUCCGGAUUUAUUGGGCGUAAAGAGCGUGUAGGCGGUUUGGUAGGUCCGCUGUGAAAACUCGAGGCUCAACCUCGAUACGCCGGUGGAAACCAUCAGGCUAGAGUCCGGAAGAGGAGAGUGGAAUUCCUGGUGUAGCGGUGAAAUGCGCAGAUAUCAGGAAGAACACCCGUGGCUAAGGCGGCUCUCUAGUACGGUACUGACGCUGAGACGCGAAAGCGUGGGGAGCGAACAGG